GAACGAGAAAGUGGAGCAAUCCAUGAGUAAAGUGGCGACCGGGUGAGUAACACGUGACUAACCUACCUCCGAGUGGGGAAUAACUCCGGGAAACCGGGGCUAAUACCGCAUAACAUCGCAAGAUCAAAGCAGCAAUGCGCUUGGAGAGGGGGUCGCGGCUGAUUAGCUAGUUGGCGGGGUAACGGCCCACCAAGGCGAAGAUCGGUAUCCGGCCUGAGAGGGCGCACGGACACACUGGAACUGAAACACGGUCCAGACUCCUACGGGAGGCAGCAGUGGGGAAUUUUGCGCAAUGGGGGAAACCCUGACGCAGCAACGCCGCGUGGAGGAUGAAGCCCUUUGGGGCGUAAACUCCUUUCGACUCGGACGAUAAUGACGGUCCGAGUGGAAGAAGCACCGGCUAACUCUGUG
rnacentral:rRNA from 1 species